GAAGAGUUCAAUAUCAGUGUCGACAACAAUCAAAUUCAAACAUAAUUCAAUUAUUGCCAAUUCCCCAUGUAUGUAUAUAUUCAUAUAUAUGCAGAUACAUAUAAUUGAGAGGAAUUAUUGCCAACUCUCUUACAAGCAUACAUACACAGAGCACUGCUCAUUCACAUGGUCUUAUGGGUAAGUGUUCUUUCACAUGUUCUCUUCUCUGGCCUGCAUUUUUUGUUUUUUUGUUUUUUUGCAUGUGGCCGAAGCUGCUAAGAGAGGAAUCAAAAAUUGUGAGAAUAGCCAAUUGGAGAGGGGCCAUUUUAGCUGAAAACCAUGCAUGCAGGUUGCAGUUGCAGUUGCAGUUGCAGUGUUUGUUUGGUUGUCUAUGAUGACGGGAAAGUGAAGAGAAUAAUGCCCACCAGCUCAGGCUUUGCUGCUUUUGUGUGACAUUGUUGCGUCUGUCAGCUGCCCCUUCCCUUCUUGGUAUCUUAGACUUCUUCCAAACGAUGCAGCUACAAUAAAACAAAAUGAUAUGGUUGGUGUAACCCUUUUUCAUUUCUUCUAUAAAGAAAAGCUUGAAUGGGCCAGCCAUAUAAGGGAUAAGGGAUAUAUACAAAGAUGAAGUUGGGCUAAUACUGACCCAACUCAAUUAAAUCCCUUUUUUUUUUC